GACGAACGCUGGCGGCGUGCUUAACACAUGCAAGUCGAACGAAAAUACCAAGCUUGCUUGGUUGCUUAGUGGCGAACGGGUGAGUAACACGUGAGUAACCUGCCCCUUACUUUCCUGGAUAACUGCUCGAAAGGGUAGCUAAUACGGGAUAUUCUGACCAGCCUGCAUGGGUUGGUUUGGAAAGGUUGUUUUUCUGGUAAGGGAUGGGCUCGCGGCCUAUCAGCUCGUUGGUGGGGUGAUGGCCUACCAGGGCUUUGACGGGUAGCCGGCCUGAGAGGGUGUACGUGGACAGUGAGACUGAGAUACGACACAGAGUCCGACGGAAGGCAGCAGCGGGGAAGGUUGGACAAUGUGGGGAAGCCUGAUGCAUGGACGCAGCGCGAAGGAUGAAGGGCUGCGGGUUGUAAGCCGCUUUCGUCAGUGAACAGGGCACUGCUUUUGUGUUGGUGUGGAGGGUACCGGGAUAAGAAGCCCCGGCAAACUACUU
rnacentral:rRNA from 1 species